AGAGUUUGAUCCUGGCUCAGGAUGAACGCUAGCGGCAGGCCUAACACAUGCAAGUCGAGGGGCAGCACGAUUGAGCUUGCUUAAUUGGUGGCGACCGGCGCACGGGUGCGUAACGCGUAUGCAACCUACCUUAUACUGGGGUAUAGCCCGGAGAAAUUCGGAUUAAUCCCCCAUAGCAUUAUCGAUUCGCAUGUUUUGAUAAUUAAAGGUUACGGUAUAAGAUGGGCAUGCGUCCCAUUAGCUAGAUGGUGAGGUAACGGCUCACCAUGGCGACGAUGGGUAGGGGGCCUGAGAGGGUGGUCCCCCACACUGGUACUGAGACACGGACCAGACUCCUACGGGAGGCAGCAGUGAGGAAUAUUGGUCAAUGGGCGCAAGCCUGAACCAGCCAUGCCGCGUGCAGGAAGACGGUCCUAUGGAUUGUAAACUGCUUUUAUUCGGGAAUAAACCUCUUUACGUGUAGAGAGCUGAAGGUACCGAAUGAAUAAGCACCGGCUAACUCCGUGCCAGCAGCCGCGGUAAUAC
rnacentral:rRNA from 1 species